AAUCAGAGAGCUAAACAUACCCACUGUGUGUGUGUGUGUGUGUGUGUGUGUGUUGCUUGCUGAAGAAGCAAUGAAGACGCUGUACUUGUUCUUGCUCACACUGUUCGGUGUUUUCACUCAGGACAGUAAAUGGGGUGUGAAAUAUCCUGAUAAACCGAUCUGUGCUGUGAGAGGAUUCAGUGUCUCCAUUAAAUGUAGUUAUUAUUAUCCACAAGAUCAUCAGGUGAUACAAAAGCUUUGGUGCUCGAUGAACUCAAACACAGAUAAGUGUGAAGACCCACCGUAUGUUUAUAACAGCUCAUCAAACACCAAGUCAGACUUUAAGUUCACUGGAGACGACAAAUCAGACUGUACUUUAUUAAUCCACAAUGUACAGUUCAGUUAUUCUGGAGAGUACAAAUUCAGAUUUAUUACUGAUAAGGACAAAUGGACAGGUGAUCCUGGAGCGACUCUAGAAGUUACAGAUUUAAAGGUGUCACUAAUCAGACUCAUUGGAAACGGAACCCUUAAACAAGGAGACUCCUUAAAUCUGACAUGUGAUGUGAGCUGCACACACACUUCCUCACAGUUUGUGUGGUCUAAGAACAACCAGAGUUUAAAUACAUCAGGACCCGUUCUUCACUUUCCUGCUCUAACCCUGAGGGAUUCUGGGGAUUACACCUGCACUUGGGGAACCGGUGAGACGUCAGGAUCUAAAACCAUCAGCCUUCACGUGGGGGGUGAAAGUUUUGAUCAAUGGAAAAUCUGGAUCAUUAUUUUCAUAGUUGUUGUGAUUUUGGUGAUCGUGGCCACUGUAAUUUAUCUAAGGAGGAAACGUGAGAGAGGUGAAGAGAACACACAGGAUGGAGCAAACACACACGAUAAACAGCCGAAGCCACAGCCGAGCUCUGUUCCUCAACUAGAUGAUGAAACAUUGCCUGAGGAGGAAGUGACUUACGCGAGAGUGUGUGUCAAAGACAAGAAAGUAACACAAAGGUGUGCCAACACCGAGCAACAGAAGGAGGAUGAUAAUGUCAUCUACAGCACUGUCAUUAAAUCCUGAUCACAUUAUUACAUCUCCAUCAAACUCAUCAGAACUGUAAAGAUUUCUGUGGGAACCUGUGAGAAGUUUAAUAUGAAUAUAAAAUACAUCUCAUCAAUUCCAGAUUAGUGUUUAUUCAUAUCAUUAAGUGAGAGUAUCUCGGUGUUUGACCCUUGAUUAGAACAUUGCCUUUAGUUUAAUAUUCACUCUGGCUUUUAUUCCUUUAUUAAUUGUUCAGUCAUGAGCAGAACAUCAUGUACACACACAUGAGCAAUGUAGAGCAAUGAGCAGCCAGUAUGACUACAGGAACCAGAAGGAACUUCUCACUUAACCGCUGUUAAAAAAAAAAAGUUCCUCUAAAGUGAUAGAGUUCAAACGCCAGCAGAUCUGUUUUCCAGUCUUCUAAUUUCAAUAAAUAAAGUAAGAUAAUGUGGUUUCAGCUUUUUACUGGGGAUGUACCGAUACCACUUUUUCUCUUCCGAUACCAGCGUUUGCGGGUAUCGGCCGAUACCGAUCCGAUACUAUCUUUAAAACUAAAUAAUGUAUACAACUAGCUUAGUUAUUAAGAUUUAUUUGUUUCUGGCAAAGAAAUACAAUAAUGCAUAUUACUGGAUGAUAAAUGGUUAUCAAGAAACCUUAAAAAAGUAUUAAUGCAGAAGCAAACAGAACUUUUAACAGUUAGUGGUAUAACAAUCUAAACCAUAUAUACUGCAAUUAUUAAAUUAAAUUAUUUUCUGAAGAAAAGACAAUAUUUUACAGUGAAUAUUAUAUUAGAACUCCUGAAACACGAUGUAAAGUGUAUUAAACAGUAAACCUCGCACCCAAAUGAGCGACAUGUUUAACACACUGAGGUAAACAGAAAGGACGCCUGAUAAACUCGUCUGUCUGUCGCAGGCGGCUGUGCGACAUAUUUACUAUAAAAUGUAUUAUAUUUAUUUACAUUAAUGAAAUUUAAUAUAUAAGUGUAUUUUUCUUAUAAGUUUAAACAACAGUCUGUGAUGUUUGCUGUUCAUUAAUCAACCACCACGGGUACGGGCGUCGGAAGUAAAUACAAAGUGGGCGUGUCCUGUCCCACACACAUAUAAUGGCUCCGACGCCCAUGGAAGCAGCAGCGUGGUCAAUGCUGUAGGUAAAACGCGGAAUGGAGUUUCAUUUAUUACGGCAUUCCUCAAGCAGAAUGGAUUCGACUGGCGGCGCUAAAUAAUAAAAAUGAUAGUAAUAAAAAAGACAUAUGCGAUGAAUAGAGACGGUAAAAGUGGGUGGGUCCAAUAUUAUUGGUCUUAAAAAGGUCCUGUCCCACCCACUUAAAUUGCUUGGAUCGGCGCCGAUACCGAUCCAAAAUAUCGGAUCGGUACAUCCCUACUUUUUACCAUAUUGUUUAGUGCUGCCAUUUUUACCCUAAAGAUGAUAAAUUCUGAUUCUCUGUGGCCGUUAAUGCAGGGGCUAAAUCACAGAAAUCACAUCGCUGUACAUUCUCAACUAUAGAACAUGUAAAUGCUUUUGUAAAGUCAUUAAUCUUAAAAAAAAAAAAAACCUUUGACACUUUUUCAUUGUAACUUUGAACAAAUGUUUUAAACUCAUGGUAUCUUAAGUAUGUAACCUAGUGAACCAGCAUUAAUGUAUUCAAUGUUAGAGAUUUAAGCACUUAUGUACGUCGCUCUGGAUAAGGGCGUCUGCCAAAUGCUGUAAAUGUAAAUGUAAAUGUAUUAAUAAAUGUCGUGGGAUUCUACAUGAAAACCUUAAACCUCUGUUUCUUAGACAUUAUGACUGUAUCAUGGAACGCACCACUUUAACAACUUUAAAUCAUAAGAAGCUAAUCUGUAUGUUAGAAAUAUAUAAUGUACGUAAAACUGAUGAGCUUUUAGUAAAGUAAAUUUCUAUCUGAUAUCAAGAAACUUUUAUUAUUUUUUAAAUUGUUUCUUAAGUUUCUAAGCUGUUUAAUGCAGGACAGUGAUGUAAUUUUUGUACUCCAGACUUUACGGAUGUCUCCGAUUUCUUCACUCGAUUCACUGAUCCUGUUGUGGAGCCGCAGCAGAGGGAUGAAAGAGCCACUUGCGGCUCCGGAGCCGUGGGUUGCUGACCCCUGCCUUAGACCUUGUUACUGGAUAUUACAGACACUGGAUGUUCACUGGUACAUAAUUAAAACCAACACAGACUCAGAUAAAGUCCAGUCUUUAUACACAACUAAUUCAGGGUCUUUAAUCACCAGAUGUUAAUAAACUGAUGCUUUUUGAACAGCAGACACACUGAAACCUUUAACAUAAAACUUACUUAAUAACUGAAAUUAAAUUUAUGCAUAUAAUUAACACACAACAAAAAGAAGAAAUGAAUUUGAAGAAACGCCUCAGGAAAGUGUAAAACAAUGUGUCAGUACUGAUACUGAUACAGGCUUCCUCUCCAAAGUAACUCUGACAUGUUGAUAAUCAAAUUGAACGAUUCAUGUGUACAUUUUCACACUUCUUUAUUUAGACAUUUCACAUAUAUUUCACUCAUUUUUAAACAUGUGGACUUUCUACAAGUACGUUCUUAUUUUUUGUUGAGGUUUUUUUUUUUUUACUUUAUCAUACUAUUAACAUGACAUGUUGAAAUUGAACCUUGACCUCAGAGUGAGUCACGUGAGUGACAUGCUUGAUGUUUCUCAGAAUGAACAACUCAUUACUCAGUGAUGUACAAAUCUAAGCAGAAUUUUACUGUUCUUUUCUCCUGUCCUGUCCUACUGUCCUAGCCUCCUGUCCUGUUCUCCUGUCCUGUCUUGUCCUCCUCCUCCUGUCCUACACCGACUAUAUCAUGUGAUAUGCUGCUGCAAAACAAGUG